rnacentral:tRNA from 1 species
ACGUUCGUAGCUCAACUGGUUAGAGCGCCAUCAUGACAUGGUGGAGGUUAUCGGUUCAAGUCCGAUCGAACGUA